rnacentral:lncRNA from 1 species
GUUCUGGGCUUCUGGCUGCAUUCUAGGAAGAUCAUUCCUUAAAAGAAAUAGCCAUAUGGCUUAUAAGGUGCUAAAAGGAUAAUACCAAGGAAAACUAUGGGUGGGGGCAGUGAAUGGCCAGCAUGCCUAUAAUCCCAGCACUUGAAGCCAGGAGUUCGAGACCAGCCUGGGAAACAAAGCAAGACCCUGUGUCUAAAAAAAUUUUUUUAAAAAUAAGCUGGGCAUGGUGGCACGUGCCUAUAGUCCCAGCUACUCAGCUACUCGGGAGACCAAGACAUGGAAUAAACUUGACAAGUGCUAAAGAUGCUCUUUGAUUUUUGUGUGGCAUGAGACCUCAGGCUGAAACUUCUCAUCUGAGCCAUUGAAGGGAGCCUCUCAUCUCUCCACCGAGAGGGGAGACCAGAAUGCUCUGUUUCUGGCAGGAAUCUGACACCACUUACUCCUUGGGUAGAAACUCCCCCAAGUCUGAACUAUGUGAUUGCCUGAGCCCUGCUUCUUGUUCAUUAAGACUGCUCCUCUGAAACGGAAUUGAUGAAUUUUUAGUGGCUAUUAGAAGCAUUUGGGAUCCAUAGGCAUCAGGGUUUGAUGCAUGGCCCUCAUCUCUGUGGGCUCCUGUGCAAUGAUUCUCAUCUGUCUUAGUUAGAAAGUGAAUUAAUCUUGACCUUGGCCUCAGGGGUGUGGUUCUCUGCCCUCUUACACAUCUUCAAUUCGCUUCUUUAUCAGAAGCACUUGUUUUAGGCCCAGGCUCCCCCAAUUUUAAUGACAUUUAGACAUUUGUCUUUAAGUUACAUUGCUUUGAUUUUAAUCAAAAUCUAUAUUUCUAGUAUUAUAUGUUUCCAGAAAGUUCUCAUUCUGGAUUGUAAUUUAAUUACAUGGAUCAUUAAAGCUUUGAAGGAUGCUAAUGGG